UAACACUGUGUAGAUGCUGGAUGAAUUUUCACAGCAGACAGUAGCUUCAAUUUAGACGCCUUCCCAUUGAUCUGCUCAUCUGUAGGAGCAGAUUCUAAACAACUAAUUAUUAAUAGUGUUUCAUUAAUAAAAAAAUGUUUUGAGGCCCUCGAAAGUGAGCACCUUUUAUUUAGCUUUGUACAAAUUGUAUUAGAUUUAUGUUUUUUAUAAACUCAUGGGUUUCUUUAACCUUUCUAAUGAUUUAGGAUAGGUAGGACUUGAGUUUUUCCUCAAACACUCCCUCACGUCCAACAUUAUUGGACUUGGUGUGUAUAUCAAUGGUGGGCAACCCUUUUAAAGUGAUUCUAGAUAGUUUUGAUACCAUAUUAAUUGAAAAUGUAAUUCAUUGAUUGAAAUGUUUUUGAUACAAUGAAUUGAGUCUUUGUUUAGAAUUCUAUAUAUAGUACAGAGACUUAAGGAGGAGAGGUUAUAACUGUCUAACAGUGACAGUUACAACUAAUUGACUUAUUAAUCAAACAUACAGAUUGACUAUGGUUACAAAAUAAUACUUAGCAGAGGAGUUUAACACUCGCUUCCCCACAAACUCAAGGUGGGUGAGAGACAAGAGGAAGAUCAACAACAUUGAGUUUGGUCUUUAUAAAAGAGAAUCGAGUAGGUGAUAGAAGCUUCGUAAGAAGAUUAGCCCACUGAUCUUGACCAGGAAUGUGCCUAACCAAAAGUUUCUUGGCAAGAAUUUUAUCUCGAACAAAGAACAUAUCUAGUUCCAUUUGCCCUGAUUUAGCAUGAAGAACCGAAUUGUGAGCUAAGUGAACUACACUUAGAUUAUCACAUAGAACUAUAGUAAUCUGAUGUGAGACUGAAAGUUCUUUUAGAAGAGUCUGAAUCCAAAGGAUGUAUACUGUGGCUGCAAAUAAACUUAGAUAUUCAACAUCUGUACUUGAUCUAGAUACCAUCGUUUGUUUGCAAGACCACCAUGAAAUAAGGUUUGGUCCCAAGUUAAUGGUAGCUCUUAGGUAGAACAUCUGUCAUCCGGGUCAGCAGCCCAGUCUGCAUAACAAAAGGCUUGAAUGGACAAAGGUUGAUGAGGAAUUCAAGGGGAAAAUAGUAAUCUACUAUUUAGAGAACCCUUGAGAUAAUGUAGUAUGUGCUUCACUGCUAUCAAGUGAGAUUCCAAGGGUUUAGCCAUAAAUUGACAAACUAUGUUGACAGAUUUUGAUAGUUAGGGUUUUUCUUGGAGAGAUUUUCACCAUCUGUGAUAUUCGCAGUAGCCUGAGGAGUGGUAUGUGAGAUUUAGUGAUGGAGUUGUAGUUGUGUUUGUAUCAACUAAAACCUUUUUGCGAUAUUUCUGAAGAUGCUGUUCUUGAGCAAGAAUCAAACCUUCAAUUUUCAACUAACAUGAUAAUCGAAUCAAAUUCUUGAGGUAAUCCUUCAAGAAUUGCAUCCAAAUUCUGACAAGAUGAUGCAGGAUCAUCUUUGAUGAGAAGAAGAUACUCACUAACAAGAUGAUCUUCUAUGGCGGAGUGAUGAUGUUGAGAUUGCGAUUGUUGAGCUCUUGUGAGUCUGAUGAUGAAUGUGUGAAUGAAUUUUCUCCCACAUUUCGUAUAAAUGAAGACAAUCAAGAACACGAGAGAGCAUCGAACUCGAGAAAGAUGACUGUAAUCAUGCAAGUAGCAUCUGAUCUUGCUAUUCUCAAGCAAGAUAUUGUGAAUUGACGUGAUUAAGAUCAUGGUCUUCUUCAGUAAGAAAUUUUGAUGGAAUUCAAGGUGAAAUGAUAUAGUGAUGAAGCAUGUGUGCCUUGAUUACAUGCUCGGUUUGCUGAAGCCAAAACAAAAAAUUCUUAUCAUCAAGUUUUUAUGUGAUUUGAUCUAAAAAAGCGAUUGAAACUACUAUCGCAGUUGAAGAUGAUGGAUUUCCAUUGUGCUGAAAAUGUGAUUGCAAUGGUGGCACGUGAAUUGGUUCUUGAUUGUUUGUGUAAGCCAUAGUCAAGGAUUAAGAGGCUCUAGAUGCCAUUCUAAGAAAAUAGGUUAUGGACUUAACCCAAUCCUAUAAAAUUGGUUUGUGAGAUAAGGUUUGCCUCCCACUUGUAAACUCGUUAUUUGUCAAAUUUCUAGUCUAUGUGGGACUUGAGUUUUUUCUAACAAUAAUCUAUACUUUUAUACUAAUAGUAAAAGGGAUAACCCCACUUGGUAUCCACUUUUAUCUUCCUGGGUGCUGUUGCAGUAGGUGGCCAUGUUUUGCAACGAAAUCGUGGUGACUGUGUACGUAAGUGGCUUUGAUUUCAAAAUUUGGGGUGAAAAAUUGAAUUCACCUGAUUUUAUUUUCUGCUUGAUUUUCAUACUUUUAAUUUUUUAAACCUUUUUGUUUUUGCCCCUAUUAAUUUUUAUGUCUUUUCCAUUUUUCCAAAUUGACCCUAUUAAUUUUUGUCUUCCCAUUUUAAGAUCCUGUCUUAUGUGUUCUCUGACAUACAUGCUCUUACUUUUUAAGUUCCCCCUUCCCUCAGUUUUUAACUUCUCUUUCUCAUUUCUUCCCUCAUAUUAAAAGGGAUAACCCCACUUGGAGUCCACUUUUAUCUUCUCUAUUUUACUACUAAUAACUACACAAUCUCUAAUAACCGCACAAACUAUUAGGAGAGAGAUUUGUUAUUCUCCCCUCCCUCUUUUUUAACAAAAGCACGAAGUAUCUUUUUUUUUCUUCUUCCAACUAGUAUUUAAAUAAUAUAAGAUAUUGAUACAUAAUUUUUUAAUGUGUAUUUCUAUUUUUGACUAUUUAUGUGUAUGAUAUAAAUUAUUUAUAUUGUUUUCUAGACUUUGCAAUAGUGAUUAGGCCCAGUUUUUGCUAUCUUGCUUUUGUGGUCUCGGGGUAGGCUGCAAGGUGCUACUAAUACUAUCCAGGGUUGAUUAUUUAGAUAUUAACUGUCUUCCACAGGUCUGUCGCAUCACACCACAUAUAUAAAACUAUAACUCAUGCCAUAGAACAUAAGUAUCCAAUUAAUACAAACAUAACUGCCUAAUAGAACUUGGCCUAUCAAUGCCUCCUGGUACAGAAACAGCCUUGUUCUCAAGGUCAGAAUGAAAAAACUUUCACUUUCCAGAUAAGGUUUGGAUUUUGUUUCACCAAUUCAAUCCCCUUGAAAUCUCCUUACUUGAACAUGUUUUAAUGCAGGUUGGAAAAGCGUAAUUUGAGCUAGUUGAUCAUUUGGAAAAGCGUAAUUUGGAAAAGCCUUGUUCUGGGCUCCUAGGCUAAUGUUACACCUAGAAUAUGUUUGAGCCUAUUUUUUCUCUUAUACGUAGCUACAGGCUAAAAAUUCAGGGAAGAAGCUAAUAAACCAUGUAUUGCUAAAAUGAAUACUUUUUUUGUUGGUUGUCAUCUACAAAAUUACAUAGGAAACCUGGAUGUUGAUGUGUGGCACCUAGAAUAUCCUUGUAUUUCUUUAGCUUCUUCCUCCCACUUCAAGUUUAAAAUUUUAAAUGCUUACUUGCAUUACAAACUGACUUAUUUCUGGUGCAACAUUUAAAGGAAGAUAUGAAAUUGAGUUACCUGGCUUAGGAACUGAUUUCAACUGAUCGCUUAGCUCCUCAAUCUUGAUGGCUUAAAAUUGCAUCAUUUUGUGUGUGGUGUGUGCAUGUGUUCACAUACACUCUGACCUAAACUGUCUCAUGUUUCCAAAACGUGUACAUUUUUCAACUGUCUCAUGUCUCAUUGGCAACUUAUAGUUAUCUGUCCUAUGGAGAAUAGAUCUUUAUGCUUUU